GAGUGCUGGCUCUGAAAUUGGGGCAGCUUUCGCUUUGCCUUCCUGGCAACAGCAGCUGUGCAUGGUAGGGUUUGUCCGUCGCGUCAAAGGCAGGGACAGCUGAGCCCCUAUACGAAUCCUUGAGAGCCUGGGAGUGGGCGUUUCACUUUUCCUGCGACUGGGGAGUCCCUCAGGCUCUGCCCUUUGACCUUUGACAUGUGUGCAGCUUCUGCUUCUCCAGAUAUGGAAAACAUGUAUAAAAGAGACCGACCAUUCAUGACAGUUCAGAAAAAUGAUACCUCAGAUAAUCUGGUAUUUCAUAUGAAAAGUGAAAUGAGAAGCACCAAGUAUAAACCAGUAGACUAUCAACAAUUGCAUGCAUUAACCGAAGCAAAAAAAUUAGCUUCUGCCUCUACGGAGCUAAAGAUCAGAAAAGCAGUGCAGACUUCAAAGAUAUCUAAAGAGCAGACACUAAUAAAGCAACAUAAGCAAGUGUGGUGGCAAGAACACCAAAGGCUAAAUGAAGUCAGAUGUAAAAUGGAAUCUGAAAUAAAAUCCUUACUCAAUGAAGAGAACAUUGGAAAAGAAUGUCUUUCUGACCUUAUGAAUUUCGAACAAGAGUUAUCAGAACAAUGGUGCACAUACCUUAAAAAUGUAAUAAAUCCUAUUCAGCAAUUGAGAGCAGAUCUAAAAUACAGACAGCAUCACAUUUCACAGCAUUCACACUCGCACAGUGAAUCUAACUCUGUGAAAGUACUGGAAGAGGUUGACUUCGUGAAGAAACAAUUGAAGGCCGUCUAUGAAAGACUUAGGCUAGAGCAACAGAAAAUAGAAAAUUAUCUUUCAGACUGGAGUUUGAAAACACUUGAUCAUUCUUCAGAAGAAAGAAGUAACCUGCUUAGUGAAAUGCCCGUGGAAUUAGAAACUUUGGAAUGUCCAUACCCUGACCUGAAGUCUUCAAUCCUUAAUGAAUUCUGUAACUUUACAGAGAAAUAUCAAAAGAAACUUCAAGAUUUUGAUAUGCAGUUAAAAGAUAUAUACAGAAACUUCCAAUUAAGUGAUGAAGACCACUGGUUUUACCAGGCUCUUGUGGAUCAGUAUCCUGGGGAUCUCAGUGGCAGAAGGACUCUGUAUCUGGACAUGUUACAAAGACAUUUUCCUCACAAAUCGAGGCAUGAUUUGGUUGAACAUGAAAAAUAUUGUGACCAAUAUCGCUUUGCUAAGGAGCAGCGAAGGAUCCUGAUAUCAAGUUGGAGUAAGAAUAGGAGAGACUUUAUACAGAAGGCUGUGCUGACAGUGGCCGAGGCCUGUGCAACUCAUGAAAUGGAAAACAUAUUGGUUAAGGACAGGAAAAAGCAACAGGAGGUGUGUGCUGAUCUGCAAGCCAAGGUUCUUCAGUGGCGAGCCCACCAGGAAGAGGUAGCAAGAGUGGAAAUGGAAAUUUCUGCCAGAAGAAGAGAAAAGGAAGAGGAGAAAGAGAAACUGUGGAAGAAGAAGGAAUUGUUACAAAGAAAAGAGAAGAAAAAAAAAAUAAGAAAAUACUGGGCUAAAAAAGAGCAGAAAUGGCAAGAAAUGGAAAUGAGAGAUCUUCAUCGUCUGGAUGAACUGAAGAAAUUAAUGGCUGAACAGUCAGUAAAAGACAGAGAAAGGGUUAAAUACAGACAAGAAUUAUUGGAAAAGCGUUUGAUGGAGAAAAAAGAAGUGACCCUUCAAGAAGCACUUGAAGAAGCAGAGAGAGAGAAGCGAAUAGAAGCCCUAAGGAAACAGGUUGCUAUUGUCACUCAGUUUGAUCCUGUUAGAAUGAUGUCAGACACAAUGGCAUCAAAAGCGAGGAUGGGUAUUGGAAUCGAAGAAGAAUUUAUUCUUCAAAAGCCACUCUUCACAUUGAAUACAUACAAUGAACAGCAGGGUGAUGGAACAUGUAGCUUGGAGGCAAGCAAUGGAGACCAUUUAUCUGUCUUUUACUCAAGCUUUCAAUUCUAUCAUACAUGGGAUGCCCAUCAGCCAGCCAAGAAAGUCUUUCUGAUGGCAUCAUUGUGGUUCGUGUGAGUUCUACAAAGAAGAUUAUGUAACUGGUUCUCCAGCUAUAAAUGGGCCAACUCAAAAGAGAAAAGGAAUAAUCAGCUCUGGAAGGAGACUCUUCUAACUCCCUCAGCAAGUUUAAGGGACUUGCCUAAAGCUGCAGAGCUGGUUAGUACAGGAGCAUGCCUUCUCCUCCUGCAACUAGACGUUAAGCUCCCAAGAGGCUGGAAUAGACCAGGGGUGGUUUACACAGCUCUCUCCCCGGACCUCACCUGAGGGGAUCCUCAUACCAACCCAUCUGAGGAAAGAAAAGGAAUGACCCCCACUUUGCAAAGGAGGACCACUGAAGUUCAAGGAGAGUGAGAUGCAGUGUCAGAAGAAGAGCACAGACCUCCUGGAUUUGAGUCUGUCUGAACACCCUGAAGGAAAAACAAAACACCAGUUCCUCAAGGAAAGUGACUUUUGGGGAAUUCCACAGCAAGUGUUUAACAAGUAUUGUUUAACUGAGAGCAUGAAUGUUUUAAUAGAGUCUGGACCUUUCAAGUAAAUCUAUUUUCUUCCAAACAGCCACCUUAGCCUUUAUGCUAAUUACGGGGGAGGAGGGGAGAGACACCUUGGAUCUUACAAGGGAGUUAGGCUUUUUUUUUCU